rnacentral:rRNA from 1 species
GUGUAUCUGUUGUGGCGCCAGCUGCACUGCAGAGUAGCUACGUACGGAUGAGAUAAGCACUGAAAGCAUCUAAGUGCGAAACUCACCGCGAGAUGAGGUUUCAUUGAGGGUCGUUGUAGACGACAACGUUGAUAGGCCGCAGGUGUAAAGGCAGUGAUGCCAAAGCCGAGCGGUACUAAUUACCCGAAAGCUUAUC